rnacentral:rRNA from 1 species
GACAGAGGUGGCAAGCGUUGUUCGGAUUUAUUGGGUGUAAAGGGCAGGUAGGUGGUUAUACAAGUCUGGUGUGAAAUCCCAGGGCUCAACCCUGGAACUGCAUUGGAAACUGUAUGACUUGAGUACCGGAGAGGUGAAGGGAAUUCUCGGUGUAAGGGUGAAAUCUGUAGAUAUCGAGAGGAACACCAGUGGCGAAGGCGCUUCACUGGCCGGUUACUGACACUGAGCUGCGAAAGCAAGGGGAG